AUGUGUGUUCCUAAAGAUAGAGGUGGGAUGGGCUUCCGUGAUAUUCACAGUUUCAACUUAGCUAUGCUUGCAAAGCAAUGUUGGAGGCUCAUUGACAAUUAUGACUGUCUGGCUAGAGUGUUGAGAUCACGAUACUACCCUACAUGAGAUAUAUUGAACUGUGAGCUGAAGAAGGGAUCUUCAUAUGUGUGGCAAAGUAUAUGGGCAGGAAUCCAAACUUUUAAAAAGGGUGGCAUCUGGAGAGUUGGUAACGGAGAGAAGAUUGAUAUUUGA
rnacentral:rRNA from 1 species